rnacentral:rRNA from 1 species
UACAGAGGUCUCAAGCGUUGUUCGGAUUCAUUGGGCUUAAAGGGUGCGUAGGCUGCGCAGAAAGUUGGGUGUGAAAUACCUCGGCUCAACCGAGGAACUGCGCCCAAAACUACUGUGCUCGAGGAAGAUAGAGGUAAGCGGAACUUACGGUGGAGCGGUGAAAUGCGUUGAUAUCGUAAGGAACACCUGUGGCGAAAGCGGCUUAUUGGGUCUUUUCUGACGCUGAUGCACGAAAGCUAGGGGAGCAAACGGG